rnacentral:lncRNA from 1 species
CUAAACUAAAUUUUUCCUUUAGUCAGCAUUAGGGUUUUAAACCCUAAACUGAACUUUUUCCUUUCAUCCAGCAUUAGGGUUUUAAACCCUAAACAGAGCUUUUCCAUGCAAUCAGCAUUAGGGUUUUAAACCCUAAACUGAAUUUUUCCUUUAGUCAGCAAUAGGGUUUUAAACCCUAAACUGAAUUUUUCCUUUAGUCAGCAUUAGGGUUUUAAACCCUAAACUGAACUAUUUCCUUUUAGUCAGCAUUAGGGUUUUAAACCCUAAACUGAACUUUUUCCAUUCAGCCAGCAUUAGGGUUUUAAACCCUAAACUGAGCUUUUCCAUGCAAUCAGCAUUAGGGUUUUAAACCCUAAACUGAAUUUUCCUUUUAGUCAGCAUUAGGGUUUUAAACCCUAAACUGAGCUUUUCCAUGUAAUCAGCAUUAGGGUUUUAAACCAUAAACUGAAUUUACCUUUUAGUCAGCAUUAGGGUUUUAAACCCUAAAUUGAGCUUUUCCAUGUAAUCAGCAUUAGGGUUUUAAACCCUAAACUGAACUUUUUCUUUCAGUCAGCAUUAGGGUUUUAAACCCUAAACUGAACUUUUUCUUUCAGUCAGCAUUAGGGUUUUAAAACCUAAACUGAACUUUUCCUUUUAGUCAGCAUUAGGGUUUUAAACCCUAAACUGAACUUUUUCCUUUCAGCCAGCAUUAGGGUUUUAAACCCUAAACUGAGCUUUUCAAUGUAAUCAGCAUUAGAGUUUUAAACCCUAAACUGAACUUUUCCUUUUAGUCAGCAUUAGGGUUUUAAACCCUAAACUGAACUUUUUCCUUUCAGCCAGCAUUAGGGUUUUAGACCCUAAACUGAGCUUUUCCAUGCAAUCAGCAUUAGGGUUUUAAACCCUAAACUGAACUUUUCCUUUCAGCCAGCAUUAGGGUUUUAAAACCCUAAACUGAGCUUUUCCAUGUAAUCAGCAUUAGGGUUUUAAACCCUAAACUGAAUUUUCCUUUUAGUUAGCAUUAGGAUUUUAAACCCUAAACUGAAUUUUCCUUUUAGUCAGCAUUAGGAUUUUAAACCCUAAACUGAAUUUUCCUUUUAGUCAGCAUUAGGGUUUUAAACCCUAAACUGAACUUUUCCUUCCAGUCAGCAUUAGGGUUUUAAACCCUAAACUGAACUUUCCCUUUUAGUCAGCAUUAGGGUUUUAAACCAUAAACUGAAUUUUCCUUUUAGUCAACAUUAGGGUUUUAAACCCUAAACUGAACUUUUCCUUUCAGCCAGCAUUAGGGUUUUAAAACCCUAAACUGAGCUUUUCCAUGCAAUCAGCAUUAGAGUUUUAAACCCUAAACUGAACUUUUCCUUUUAGUCAGCAUUAGGGUUUUAAACCCUAAACUGAACUUUUUCCUUUCAGCCAGUAUUAGGGUUUUAAACCCUAAACUAAGCUU